UAUAUAUAUAUCGGAAAUAUGUGGUUGCAAUGGUGGGUAGCUGCGCACGCAUCCAUCGCCGUCCAUAGUUCCAUUGGGAUCGAUGCUAAUUUUUUUGGGUACAGAGACGGGUGACGCUGAAACAGUAAUCGCAGUGGCGUCGCAGAUGCCGUCGCACGUCAGACACUGCCACCAGCAGAAAACGUGGAGGGGGAGGGGGGCUCCGCCCGACUUUACUUUUUACCUUUUUUUUUCACACGGUGUGUACGCUAGUCCAACAAGGCAUCUGCGCCACACCAACCCUUCUGUCUCCCUUCUCCUAGCCGCACCGGAAGGAGAUCCGAGUGUCGCCGGGCAGCAACAGGGGCCGGAAGCCGAUCGAGCCGUACGGGAGCGGCUCUGCGAGGAUCUGAGAAGCCGGGUGGACAGCAACGGCCGGCAUUUGUGGGGGUGCGUCACCGACACCCGCGUGAAGCUGAGAAGCCAUGGAUCUGAGAAGCUCCAAGGUCGGAGCACGGAGGCGCGUGGAGAGUGUGGGGGAUUCGCAAACAGAGGUGCAGGUUCCUACCCGGAGAGUCGGAUCGGACGCAACUCACCCGUGUCCGCGCUGUGGUCUUCGCCCGACCAGGCAAGAUGAACCAGCCGCAGCGGCCGAGGGGUCUGGCACAAAGGCACCGUCAAGGAGGAAGGUACGGGUGCCAGUACAGGCUGGAGGACCAAGGAAGUUGCGCAAACCAGUCAUGGCCGGAUCAAACCACGGCAGGCAGCAGUUAGAUAUGGUGGAAGGGAUUUGUUCGUGCUUGCCCGCAACAUAACGCUGUCCCCAGAGCUCCUACAAGUCAUCUCCUGGGUAGGAAAUUCAGGGCUUCCGGCAUACGUCUGCCGCAUCACAGGCAGAAUGGCUGAUAGAGGAAUCAUGUUCUUUAACAAGGAGUGUACUUCAAGAUGCAUUAAGAAAUCAGAUAAAACCAUGACACUUUCGAACGGGGAAUGGUGCGUGGCUUUCCACGGGAAGAUCAAGGUCUACAGGGACGGAAUUGCAAGGUUCACCAGCGGAGGGAAGGUAUUCGCCGAGUCUAUCGGCAUUACUGUGAACUCAGCAUGUUUGUUCAGCUUCUGCCGCUUCCCGAAAACUGGCUUGCAUGCGACCGUUUUCAUCCUGGCAUUAUGAUCGCCUCGACGGCCGCGGCUUUUUUGGCAAGCCACUGGUUUUGUUACCAGUUGAACAAGUACGCGUAUUUCGUGCGCAGGCACCCUGAUAAGGGAUCCAAAAAGCCCGGUGGGUUAAUUAGAUUAACCAUUAUUUAAUAUAAUCUAGCUAUAGCCAGCUAGAUCUUGAACCGUAUUCAGUACUAUAUAUUAUGUACUAUAAUCUAGCUGUAGCCAGCUAGAAGAUGUAUCGUCUUUAUUAUUAUAUGGUAUGUACUAAAAUCCAGCUUCACCAGUUAAUCCCAUUCAGUGUGAAAUUCUAGGUACAGCCAUCGGUAUGCUAGUUACAGAAAAUGGGCCGUGUUGGACCGAGUUAGCAGGACGGGACCAAAUGAACCGUUCGGUAGGGGGCCGAGCCCAUGAAUUUUCGGGACGGGAAGGGGUUGUUUUUUUUUCCCGUCGGAGAUGGUCUGGUUUUCUCGGAAAAGAACAGACGUGUCGGAAAAACACUACAUAUAUUGCAACUAAAAAUUCGGAGGAACUAGAAUUGUCCAGGAAAAUAAAGCCUGCACCAUUAAUUCAAAGCACAACGGAAAUACUCCAGAACAGAAGCUAAAGACUGAAGAAACAUAAUGAUACUAGACCCACAGGCCACACGGGGCUACACAUUACACUUGCUGUAGCUAAACAUAGUGAACUUUAUGCUCCACGCAGAGAGGGCGGAAACAAGAACACAAGAUGAACUAAUAACAGCUACGGCAGAAACCACAUUGGCGGUGUGUAGAUGGAUGCGCUGCGCCAGCCGUACCACCUCUUGACGUCCUGUCCAGGGCCAGGCCAGCACCCAUUGUCGUGGCACUGGUACUUCCGCCAGUUGUCCGCAAAGGCCACCACGGAAGGCUGGUUGAAUGUCUCAUCGUCGUGGUAGUACACACCUUCAUGCUUCCCCGGGAACUGGAGGACCUCGUAGCUCCUAGAACACCCUCUGCCGACGAAAAUCAUACGGCCGUCUAUGGUCUCUAGCCUCUCCCACUCGUAGUAAUACCCGCCCGGCAUGGAUGGCACAGCCCUGAACAAGCAGAACAAUGUUGUCUCGUCGGCCCAAGGAGCGGUGUACCUGACCACCAUUAGAAGUUCGCCACGGCUCUCAACCAGGUAGCGUGCUGAAGGGUACAUGCCCCCUCCGUGACGUUGCGACUCGAAUUCAAGGUAUGCAUUCUGGAAACGUAUCUGUGUAGGAGCAAAAGAUGGAUCAAACUGCGGUGUGCAGCGUAGUAUGUCCUCUAUCUUGGUAAGGCAGUAGAAAGACCCCCCGAAGAAUAUUACAUCCUGGAAAUCCAUCUCCAUGGGGCAUGAGUAAACCCUAGCGCCUAGAUGCGCGAAGCAUAUUAGAGUGCGGGACAUGAAAGGCCUUUCAAACAUGGACACAAUGCAUGCAAUGACACAAGAGUUUUGAUUGUCAGGGGUGCAAGAUAGCGUAGCUGCGCGUAUCACUACAGGUUCUGCAUGGCUUCCUGUGUUGAAAAACACAUGCUCAGGUAUAGAGAAGUGCUGGCCGGUGUGGAAGUUAGUGACCCUGUAUCCACAAUUUUGGCCGGUAGCUAGCAUGACCCAGCCUCCAUCAUAAGAACCUAUGUAACGAGAUGCAAAUGCAAAAGGGGGGACAUGUUUCUUAUGUGGCCUGGCACUCAGGAAACAGAAGAAGGUCGCUCACCUAAUCUCGCCUACGCGUACGAUAGCAGUGCACCGCAGAGGCACCAGCAUCCACGGCAGCUGCAUCGACCUUGGCAUGCCCCGCAUGGCAUCCCUCCACGCGCGACACUGCAGUUUCAUACCCACGUGAUCCUCGUCGCAUGGCAGAUGGCUGGCGCAACGACGAACGAGAUUGGGGGGUAGCUCACUCCACCCCGUGGGCAAAUCUCUCGCAUCUCCCAUCACACACCCUCCCCUCACACAAAAGCCUAAUCUUUUCCGGUCUCAAGAUAGUAUAGAUGUGGCGCUGUGCUGGCGAGCUUGCACUGGCGGACUCGAACGGGCUUUGUAUAGCAAGUGAGACACUAUUGACGUGAUGACCGAAACUGGCUGUCUUUCACCGGGUAUGAGAACGAACAAUAUAGUCGGACUAGGCCUCAGGCGACAUACAUAGGCAAGACAAGACCUAGAACGUCGCAGGGGAUGCAGCUGUAAAUGAGCGUGAAAACCAUUCAUCUAUGAGCAACUCAUGCCUUCACUGACAUACAUAGGCAAGCACCAACCAGACUGGUGUACACCUCCCCUGGUGGAUAAGCAACAGCAUGCCUGCACUGCCAGACUCGGCACCCCCGGUGGAUAAGCAACAACAUGCAUGCACUGCCAAACUCGGUAGUUCGUGCUUUGACAACAUAUGUCUUUCAAUGGCUUACAAAUAGUAUGCCAGUGCAUCUAUAUUGCUCGUCCCCUCCUUUGUUCUAAUGGUGUUCUGUCUUGGCUAUGUAUGUCGCCUGAUGCCUAGUUCAAUCGACUAUAUCGUUCGUUCUCAUACCCAGUUAAAGACAGCCAGUUUCGGUCAACACUAAAGUUGAAUUGACUCACGGUCGGACAACUUAUGGCUUUACUGGCCUACACAAGUUAUUACAUCCACAACCUAGCCAUGCUAUCAAGCGUACGAGUCAGACACACACAAAUGUUGUGUGAUAUAUAGUCCAGCGUAACGUGAGCAUAUUCAAGAGGGCAGACCGCAGUCCAGGCCGUAACGUUGCCGGGCUGACAUGGAUCCUUGCAUGCUUAGCCAGGAGCGUUUGUACCAGCUUUUGAGCACCACAUUUUGCAAAGCCUGCCCCCAGCACCACAAUCUAAAGAACAACACAUGCAAGUUCUUUUGCUUGGACUGCAACGGUGGCACACAACACGCGUUAUGCACAUACUGCCAAAUCAAUCAUGAGGAAACUAGCCACCGGAUGCUCCAGGUUUGGAAGUAGCGUUACCAUGCUUUGCAUUUUCAUUUUUUAAAGCCAUUCUUCGUACCACCACCAUUUUCUCGAAUUCAAGUAUGUUAGCGCAUCAUUUUUCAUGAAUUCCAGGUUCGCAUCACGUCGCAUCACGAGUGCAUUCGCGAGCAUGAUCUUCUAGAUGUCAUCGACACAAAAGGCAUACAUCGUUAUAUAAUCAAUGGGGCUAAUGUUCUGUUCAUCAGAAGGCGGUCUCAGCACGUGCAGACGCUGAUUGGCCGACGCACCCCAGUCUCCUUGUGCGAGAUAUGUAAAAGAGGGAUUGGACAGGGCACACGGUUCUGCUCGUUGGAGUGCAAGCUUGACAGAAAUGGAAUGAACCCAUUACAAAGCAUUGCCUUCCAGUCGCCAGUACGACCGCCACGUCGCCUAAAGAGGAGC